rnacentral:rRNA from 1 species
GAUGAACGCUGGCGGCGUGCCUAAUACAUGCAAGUCGAGCGAAUGGAUUAAGAGCUUGCUCUUAUGAAGUUAGCGGCGGACGGGUGAGUAACACGUGGGUAACCUGCCCAUAAGACUGGGAUAACUCCGGGAAACCGGGGCUAAUACCGGAUAACAUUUUGAACCGCAUGGUUCGAAAUUGAAAGGCGGCUUCGGGUGUCACUUAUGCAUGGACCUGCGUCGCAUUAGCGAGUUGGUGAGGUAACGGACAACCAAGGCAACGAUGCGUAGCCGACCUGAGAGGGUGAUCGGCCACACUGGGACUGAGACACGGCCCAGACUCCUACGGGAGGCAGCAGUAGGGAAUCUUCCGCAAUGGACGAAAGUCUGACGGAGCAACGCCGCGUGAGUGAUGAAGGCUUUCGGGUCGUAAAACUCUGUUGUUAGGGAAGAACAAGUGCUAGUUGAAUAAGCUGGCACCUUGACGGUACCUAACCAGAAAGCCACGGCUAACUACGUGCCAGCCGCCGCUGUAA